UACGUAGGGAGCAAGCGUUGUUCGGAGUUACUGGGCGUAAAGGGUGCGUAGGCGGUUGUUUAAGUUUGGUGUGAAAUCUCCCGGCUCAACUGGGAGGGUGCACCGAAUACUGAAUGACUAGAGUGCGGGAGAGGAUAGUGGAAUUCCUGGUGUAGCGGUGAAAUGCGUAGAUAUCGUUUGGAACGUCAAUGGUGAAAACAGGUUGCUGGGAGUGUGCUGACGCUGAGACACGAAAGCCAGGGGAGCAAACGGG
rnacentral:rRNA from 1 species